rnacentral:lncRNA from 1 species
ACUCCUUACGGGCCCUCGGAAAGGGAUACAACCUGACCGAGCUCCUACGGGAGGACGCCCUGGCGAGCGUGGGCCUGAGUUCGGCGCGCCCCGAGGGUAAGAGUAGUUGCAUUACCUUAUUUUUGUCUGUUCUUUCUUUUUACUAACACUGGUCCGACACUUAGGAGAAUUUUUGGUUUCAGAUAUUUCCCAUAUGCCGACUA